rnacentral:rRNA from 1 species
GCACAAGCAGUGGAGUAUGUGGUUUAAUUCGAAGCAACGCGAAGAACCUUACCAGGUCUUGACAUCCGAUGCAUAGCGCAGAGAUGUGUGAAAUCCUUCGGGACAUCGAGACAGGUGGUGCAUGGUUGUCGUCAGCUCGUGUCGUGAGAUGUUGGGUUAAGUCCCGCAACGAGCGCAACCCUUAUUGCCAGUUACUACGUUAAGAGGACUCUGGCGAGACUGCCGUUGACAAAA